AUUGAACGCUGGCGGAAUGCUUUACACAUGCAAGUCGAACGGCAGCACGGACUUCGGUCUGGUGGCGAGUGGCGAACGGGUGAGUAAUGUAUCGGAACGUGCCCAGUCGUGGGGGAUAACGUAGUGAAGAUUACGCUAAUACCGCAUACGAUCUAUGGAUGAAAGCAGGGGAUCGCAAGACCUCGCGCGAUUGGAGCGGCCGAUAUCAGAUUAGGUAGUUGGUGGGGUAAAGGCCCACCAAGCCAACGAUCUGUAGCUGGUCUGAGAGGACGACCAGCCACACUAGAACUGAGACACGGUCCAGACUCCUACGGGAGGCAGCAGUGGGGAAUUUUGGACAAUGGGCGAAAGUCUGAUCCAGCCAUUCCGCGUGCAGGAUGAAGGCCCUCGGGUUGUAAACUGCUUUUGUACAGAACGAAAAGGUUUCUACUAAUACUAGGAGCUCAUGACGGUACUGUAAGAAUAAGCACCGGCUAACUACGUGCCAGCAGCCGCCGUAA
rnacentral:rRNA from 1 species